CUCAGUCUCAUCUGGGGUUUGUGGAGGGCUUCCACAUAGAAGCUUACAGUUCAGCCAAAGAGACAGAUUAUAAGCAGAUAAUUUCAACACAAGGUGAUGGACUCUGAAGUGGAUUCCGCGGUGUAUCAUCCAGAUGCCAUCUUUAGGAUGGAAGCACUGGUUUCCCCUCAGCUUUGGGGAGUGUUGGCUGCUGACGGCUCAAAGCUGAGUCUCUCUGGGCACUGCCCUCCCUCAAGGUUGUGACUCCUCCCUGAGAGCAGCUUGCAUCCAAAGACUGAUUUGUGAGGCACGUCAAGGGCUGGCCUACUGCCUUGAUUCAAGACAUCUGAAGGGCCAUCCCAGCUUCAGAGCUACCCACGAGAUCAAGUGAGGAGUCUGAGGAACUGGAGAAGGUCUGGCGCUUGCAGAUCUGUUCUAUGAAGAAAAGGGUUGAGUUUAUUUUUUAAUUCUGGAUAUACAGGGAAGAAAUGGAGAGAAGUAAAAGGAGGAAAUAUGAAGUGAAAUCAAAAGACUGUUCCAACUAGGAAAGGCCAGGCACCUUGCCCGUGACCCUUCUAGGACCCUGCAGAUCUCCCUCAAGUGAUGAGAUGCAGUCUUUCCUAAUUAUCAAAGCUGUCUGUGUUCAGAAACAGACUGUAGCUUCUAGGCAGAGUGCUUCGUCCCAGCAUCACUCAUCUGCUGUUUGUUGAACUGAAAUGAACAUCUUGUCCAAUUUUAACUCUCGAGUUUUUGGCAAUUGGCUGAAUUGGAAAGUCGAAGAUGCAUUUAGAGGAGAGGAUAUUGCCGAGCACUGCAGCUGCAAGAAUCUCUUUUUAAAACCUAAAGUCUGUUACAUAAAUUAUGCACUCUUUAAAUUCUCUUCUACGUUCAUUUACACAGUUGAUCAUCAAAACUGCUUUAGAAAUACGUGCAUCAAAUAUUCAGCAUAUUUUUAAAGCUUCCUUAAUACCAUGCCUAGUAAGUGGAUGCAAUUAUGUAUUUAUUUACAACAAACACCUAUGACUAGCACAAAACCUAAUUACAGUCUAUCAUUACCUCUGAAUCAUUCCAAUGGAAAUGUUUUCUCUCACUGUAUUCAUAUUGUUUUGGUGCAUGAGUAUAGAAGGCAGCAGAUUGUUUUCUGUGAUCAUAGAUUUUAAAUAUUUACUUGCUUGUGCUGCAUAAUUCAGCACACUGGAGUUGGAAAGCAGUUUGUAUGGUAGCUGAUGCCAUGUCAGUGUUACGGAAUGUAAUUUCCUUCUGUGACUUCUAUGUGAAGUUGUAAAAAUGAACAGUAUUCUAUUCUGUUUUCCUAAUCAAUUAAAAAUUGUUUUUCUGUAAACCCACAGAAAACAAAUGUUUGUGGUAUACACACAAUUUUAUUUUGUAUAAUUACCAUGUAGUGUAAGAAUCCAAGCAUUGUUUCUCAUGGCCUGUUAAGGCACAAUAUAAA
rnacentral:lncRNA from 1 species